AAGAGUUGCAAAACUCCCACAAACCAUCGCGAACGUUACCCAGACGUCGUUGCUUCGGCGGGCUCGCCCGCCGGGGGGACGCUACCAGACUCUUGCAGUUCUUCGCCUCUCUGAGUAUGAUUUUUUAAAUAAGUCA
rnacentral:misc_RNA from 1 species